UGUGGGAGCGGGCUUGCCCGCGAUGAGGGUGUGUCAGGUGCUGCAGAAUUGACUGACAGACUGCCAUCGCGGGCAAGCCCGCUCCCACA
rnacentral:misc_RNA from 1 species